GGCAAACCCACGCAACGCUGGGUACAGGUGCAAACCUACACAACGCCAGAAGGUCCAGGCACAGGGGCAAACCCACGCAACGCUGGCAGGUCCAGGCACAGGUGCAAACCCAUGCGACGCCGGCAGGUCCAGGCACAGGUGCAAACCCAUGCAACGCCAGCAGGUCCGGGCACAGGUGCAAACCUACACUACGCUGGACACAGGUGCAAACCUACAUGACGCUGGACACAGGUGCAAACCUACACGAUGCUGGACACAGGUGCAAACCUAUGUGUCACCGGCAGGUCCGGGUACAGGUGCAAAGCUACACAACGCUGGACACAGGUGCGAACCCACGCAAUGCCAGGUCUGGGCACAGGUACAAACCUACAUGAUGCUGGACACGUGCAAACCCACGCGAUGCCAGCAGGUCUGGGCACAGGUGCAAACCCACGCAACACUGGCAGGUCCGGGCACAGGUGCAAACCCACGAGAUGCUGGACACAGAUGCAAACCCACACAACGCUGGCAGGUCCAAGCACUCAGUGGCCACUCAAG
rnacentral:lncRNA from 1 species